AAGAAAUUAGUUAAAUUCAUAACAUUAAUAUGUCAUAUUAAAAUUAUUAUACAAUUAAUAUUUCUUU
rnacentral:tRNA from 2 species